GAAGACCCUCAGGGGCAGGCGGGGUGGGGCCGGGAGGGACCGGCGGAGCCCCCAGUGCCUUCAUUCCUUGGGGACACGUAUUCCCUGGUGGAGGGGCCGGGCCCCUCCACUUGAGGUCCUGGAUCUGGGCGCUUCGGGUGGGGUCGCCCAGGAAUCCCCGGAUCUGCUGAGCUGUUCCGCGGCUCUGAGCCCACGCGGGGCCGAGGAGGAGCCGGCGUGAGAACAAACCCCGGCUGUGGCCUUCGAGAGCCAUGCACGACGUCACGGGCUGGGUAACCACGAGCCCAAGUCCACCCUCGUGCCGCGACAGCUCAUCCUGGUGGAGGGCGCAGGCCGGCCCACGGGCUCCCUGCUCACGGGUGACUCUGCCUCCCCGAGCUGUGGUCACGCAGAGGCCGGGUGGGGGCCUCACAUCCCACUGAAAGCAGCCCACUGGCCCCGGCCCGGCCGUCUCCUGCUGGGUCUGAACCUGGGUGGGCGCUGCAGCGGCCCUGGGGGCUGCACGGAAGAUGGGGUGAGGCUAGGCCAGAGCUGGGGCUCGGAGCGGUUUUCCUCUCGGAGACUGUCGGGACGACCAGGGGCCAACCCUGAGCCCAGCUCCCGCGGCUCCUCUCCAGCUUCCCCGCGCGAGUCCCUGUCCCUGGGCCCUGCUCAUAGGGACACCCGUGACGCUGGCCCCGAGGCCCUGUCCAGCCUGCCCCACCGUGACUCGGUCCUCAGCACCCUCUUUAGCUCUGCAGCCCUUUCCAGGGCCUGUCACCAAACGCAGUCACACUCUGAUGUCCUGCAUGGUGGAUCCCGACAUCUGACUUUGGGGGCACCGUUCGGCCCCUAGCGUCCUGGAGGAAGGAGGCGGGUUGCCAGGUGCGGGGGGCUAACUCCGCCUGUGGCAGCUCCUGGGCUGGACCCUCCCGGAGAGGCGCGGCAGGCAGGAGGGAUGAGGACAGAGGCGCCCAGAGGCCCAGGCCCUGGUGAGGCCUCCUGGGUCCCCGGGCGGCUUUAGACUGGCCACCUGCUCAGGACCCCUGCCUGCCCGUCCACCUGCUGGCGCCUCUCUGCCCAUGCUGGGCUCUGAAAUCCAGGAAGGACAACCAAGAAGGCCGCGCGGGCCUGGUGGCCGCUGCGAGUGUCCGGCAGGCUGGCUGCUGUGCUCAGAGACGACGCCUGUGGGGCCGCAGCCUGCGUCCCACUUCCACUUCCAUGAAAGCCCCUAUUCCUGUGGAAGGCCCGAUCCAGGUUUAAGAAAGUGUGACUAGGAGACACCUGAAGAGCUGACGAGCACCCCUGAAGCAAAGCAGAGGCACCAGGGGUUCCCCACAGCAGCGGUGUUAGUGCGGAGCUGGUGACUCUAGCCCCGCCACCGGCCCCAGGGACAAGGAAGACCGGCGUUUGGGUCCGUGCUGCAGAAGCCUGGGUGUGACGGGGACGGGGCGCCGACCGAGAGCAGGGACUGACCUGCCUAUCCUCACUCCGGGAGCGAAGAUGGGGUUCUCGGGGACGGCGCACCUCUCACCAACAGUCCCACACCGGGGAGACCCCACCACAUUCCCCUGGGGCCCAGAGGGAGCCGCCGUUGCUGUUUCAGUUAGGAAAAAGGACACAGGAACGAACGCCGUGAGCCCUGCGACGGUCCCGCAGGCCCGGCUGGCCGCCCCCACUCUCCCCUCGCAGACGCCCCCACAGCAGGCCCACUCCGGACGUUUGCGGAAAGCCUGUCUGACUUUUGGGGAGACGACCCAACUGCUCGGAGCUGAGGAUGUGGGGUCCUCUGCUGGACUCUGAACCGGCACGCCCGCUUGUUGGACCCCGUCAGCUGGACAUGCCCUGGCUGUGACCGCCCCAGGCAGCCCGUGGGCCACUACCUCUAAGUCCAGUGGAGCCUCUGAGCUGCCCGGGGCUGGGGCUCUACAGGCGCGUGGGGAGGAGGAAAGCAGAGGCCGACCCUCCGGGAAGGGCGGGAAUUAACCAGAGACCCGUCCUCCUGAAUGGACCCUGACGUGCCACAGCCGACUUUCAAGCUUUCAUGAAAGAGGCCGUUUUCUGCUAUUUCAGCUGACCCGGUGCACUGAGAGAGGAAACCGGCCAGUUUUUUUAAACUAGAAAAGCAUUAAUUUUGGAACAACAGUUCUUUUAAAAUUAAAAACAUGAUUUUACUCGUGACGAUGGAUUAAAAAAUACUAAAUGAGGGGCCUCCCUGGGGCACAGCGGGUUGAGCGCUGCGCUGUGAAGCUGUCUGCAGCCUCUGCAGCGCAGGUUUGAUCCCGGCCGGCCAGGGAGAUCCCCGCAUGGCGCAGACCCCUCCUGCCGCCCGCUGCUCCCCUCAGCAGUGUCUUCGGUCCGUCUGCCUGCUCUGCUCCCCACUGGCUCUGGUGGAUCCUCUCGCCCUCCCUCGCCUCUGACCUG